rnacentral:rRNA from 1 species
AUGAACGCUGGCGGCGUGCCUAAUACCUGCAAGUCGAGCGAACAGACGAGGAGCUUGCUCCUUUGACGUUAGCGGCGGCCGGGUGAGUAACACGUAGGUAACCUACCUAUAAGACUGGGAUAACUUCGGGAAACCGGAGCUAAUACCGGAUAAUAUUUCGAACCGCAUGGUUCGAUAGUGAAAGAUGGCUUUGCUAUCACUUAUAGAUGGACCUGCGCCGUAUUAGCUAGUUGGUAAGGUAACGGCUUACCAAGGCAACGAUACGUAGCCGACCUGAGAGGGUGAUAGGCCACACUGGAACUGAGACACGGUCCAGACUCCUACGGGAGGCAGCAGUAGGGAAUCUUCCGCAAUGGGCGAAAGCCUGACGGAGCAACGCCGCGUGAGUGAUGAAGGUCUUCGGAGCGUAAAACUCUGUUAUUAGGGAAGAACAAACGUGUAAGUAACUGUGCACGUCUUGACGGUACCUAAUCAGAAAGCCACGGCUAACUACGUG